rnacentral:rRNA from 1 species
GGGUUGUGAGGUUAAGCGACUAAGCGUACACGGUGGAUGCCCUGGCAGUCAGAGGCGAUGAAGGACGUGCUAAUCUGCGAUAAGCGUCGGUAAGGUGAUAUGAACCGUUAUAACCGGCGAUUUCCGAAUGGGGAAACCCAGUGUGUUUCGACACACUAUCAUUAACUGAAUCCAUAGGUUAAUGAGGCGAACCGGGGGAACUGAAACAUCUAAGUACCCCGAGGAAAAGAAAUCAACCGAGAUUCCCCCAGUAGCGGCGAGCGAACGGGGAGCAGCCCAGAGCCUGAAUCAGUGUGUGUGUUAGUGGAAGCGUCUGGAAAGGCGCGCGAUACAGGGUGACAGCCCCGUACACAAAAAUGCACAUAUUGUGAGCUCGAUGAGUAGGGCGGGACACGUGGUAUCCUGUCUGAAUAUGGGGGGACCAUCCUCCAAGGCUAAAUACUCCUGACUGACCGAUAGUGAACCAGUACCGUGAGGGAAAGGCGAAAAGAACCCCGGCGAGGGGAGUGAAAAAGAACCUGAAACCGUGUACGUACAAGCAGUGGGAGCACGCUUAGGCGUGUGACUGCGUACCUUUUGUAUAAUGGGUCAGCGACUUAUAUUCUGUAGCAAGGUUAACCGAAUAGGGGAGCCGAAGGGAAACCGAGUCUUAACUGGGCGUUAAGUUGCAGGGUAUAGACCCGAAACCCGGUGAUCUAGCCAUGGGCAGGUUGAAGGUUGGGUAACACUAACUGGAGGACCGAACCGACUAAUGUUGAAAAAUUAGCGGAUGACUUGUGGCUGGGGGUGAAAGGCCAAUCAAACCGGGAGAUAGCUGGUUCUCCCCGAAAGCUAUUUAGGUAGCGCCUCGUGAAUUCAUCUCCGGGGGUAGAGCACUGUUUCGGCAAGGGGGUCAUCCCGACUUACCAACCCGAUGCAAACUGCGAAUACCGGAGAAUGUUAUCACGGGAGACACACGGCGGGUGCUAACGUCCGUCGUGAAGAGGGAAACAACCCAGACCGCCAGCUAAGGUCCCAAAGUCAUGGUUAAGUGGGAAACGAUGUGGGAAGGCCCAGACAGCCAGGAUGUUGGCUUAGAAGCAGCCAUCAUUUAAAGAAAGCGUAAUAGCUCACUGGUCGAGUCGGCCUGCGCGGAAGAUGUAACGGGGCUAAACCAUGCACCGAAGCUGCGGCAGCGACGCUUAUGCGUUGUUGGGUAGGGGAGCGUUCUGUAAGCCUGCGAAGGUGUACUGUGAGGUAUGCUGGAGGUAUCAGAAGUGCGAAUGCUGACAUAAGUAACGAUAAAGCGGGUGAAAAGCCCGCUCGCCGGAAGACCAAGGGUUCCUGUCCAACGUUAAUCGGGGCAGGGUGAGUCGACCCCUAAGGCGAGGCCGAAAGGCGUAGUCGAUGGGAAACAGGUUAAUAUUCCUGUACUUGGUGUUACUGCGAAGGGGGGACGGAGAAGGCUAUGUUGGCCGGGCGACGGUUGUCCCGGUUUAAGCGUGUAGGCUGGUUUUCCAGGCAAAUCCGGAAAAUCAAGGCUGAGGCGUGAUGACGAGGCACUACGGUGCUGAAGCAACAAAUGCCCUGCUUCCAGGAAAAGCCUCUAAGCAUCAGGUAACAUCAAAUCGUACCCCAAACCGACACAGGUGGUCAGGUAGAGAAUACCAAGGCGCUUGAGAGAACUCGGGUGAAGGAACUAGGCAAAAUGGUGCCGUAACUUCGGGAGAAGGCACGCUGAUAUGUAGGUGAAGUCCCUCGCGGAUGGAGCUGAAAUCAGUCGAAGAUACCAGCUGGCUGCAACUGUUUAUUAAAAACACAGCACUGUGCAAACACGAAAGUGGACGUAUACGGUGUGACGCCUGCCCGGUGCCGGAAGGUUAAUUGAUGGGGUCAGCGCAAGCGAAGCUCUUGAUCGAAGCCCCGGUAAACGGCGGCCGUAACUAUAACGGUCCUAAGGUAGCGAAAUUCCUUGUCGGGUAAGUUCCGACCUGCACGAAUGGCGUAAUGAUGGCCAGGCUGUCUCCACCCGAGACUCAGUGAAAUUGAACUCGCUGUGAAGAUGCAGUGUACCCGCGGCAAGACGGAAAGACCCCGUGAACCUUUACUAUAGCUUGACACUGAACAUUGAGCCUUGAUGUGUAGGAUAGGUGGGAGGCUUUGAAGUGUGGACGCCAGUCUGCAUGGAGCCGACCUUGAAAUACCACCCUUUAAUGUUUGAUGUUCUAACGUUGACCCGUGAUCCGGGUUGCGGACAGUGUCUGGUGGGUAGUUUGACUGGGGCGGUCUCCUCCUAAAGAGUAACGGAGGAGCACGAAGGUUGGCUAAUCCUGGUCGGACAUCAGGAGGUUAGUGCAAUGGCAUAAGCCAGCUUGACUGCGAGCGUGACGGCGCGAGCAGGUGCGAAAGCAGGUCAUAGUGAUCCGGUGGUUCUGAAUGGAAGGGCCAUCGCUCAACGGAUAAAAGGUACUCCGGGGAUAACAGGCUGAUACCGCCCAAGAGUUCAUAUCGACGGCGGUGUUUGGCACCUCGAUGUCGGCUCAUCACAUCCUGGGGCUGAAGUAGGUCCCAAGGGUAUGGCUGUUCGCCAUUUAAAGUGGUACGCGAGCUGGGUUUAGAACGUCGUGAGACAGUUCGGUCCCUAUCUGCCGUGGGCGCUGGAGAACUGAGGGGGGCUGCUCCUAGUACGAGAGGACCGGAGUGGACGCAUCACUGGUGUUCGGGUUGUCAUGCCAAUGGCACUGCCCGGUAGCUAAAUGCGGAAGAGAUAAGUGCUGAAAGCAUCUAAGCACGAAACUUGCCCCGAGAUGAGUUCUCCCUGACCCUUUAAGGGUCCUGAAGGAACGUUGAAGACGACGACGUUGAUAGGCCGGGUGUGUAAGCGCAGCGAUGCGUUGAGCUAACCGGUACUAAUGAACCGUGAGGCUUAACCUUACAACGCCGAAGGUGUUU